rnacentral:lncRNA from 1 species
GCGUUUUAUUAUAUUUUCUCUAUGUGUUUUCAAGGGAUUUUUUUAUAGUUUUUGUCCAGUGUCUGUGAUGUUUUUGUAGAAAAGUUCCUACAUCUUCUAAAAUAUUUUCUUCCAACAUUAUGUUUAUUCUGAUAACUUCAAUUUCAGCCAGCAUAAUUCAAUAUCAUGUAUUAACUGACAUGCUAAAUGCACAGGAGCUUAACAGAAUAAAGCUGUGAUUUAUAAUGAUACUGUUCCACAACAUUUUAGGGUCAGACAAAUUU